CAGCGCCGGGGCGCCAACGCCGAGGGGCUGUUCUUUCAAGAAAACCUCCUUUUCUCCGGGCUGAACCUAAAGCCUUCUUUUCUCCGGGCUGAACAAUCCCACCUCUCAGCCUUUCCGCGUACGAGAGGUGCUCCAGCCCUCUAAUCAUCUUCGUUGCCCUUAGUUCUUGUUUGUAAGAAGUAUCAUUGUUUCUGUAUCCUUACACCCUUCAGAUGUUUAACGGUGUGAGCUUUUCAGCAUUCCUGGUGAAUUACACAUUCUGGGAAUUAAUCAAAGCUAUUUAGUGAAUGAAGUUAUUGCGUGGAGGAUCUACCUGUCCUUACCUGUGACAGAGGGAUGGCACAUAUAUACAGGAGGAGAAUGGAUUUCAGGAAGGGCAUGAGCAUCUCGGAGUAAAAAUAAUUAAAUCCUGCCGAGAUCAGCUGCUGUCCAGGGACACCACCCAGGCCUAAUUCAGAGAAAAAGUAGUCAGACUGAAGCACAGCAAAAGGUGAAGAAGUUGAGAUGAGGAACUUGGUGGUACAUGAACUCUGCAAACCAGCUGGACACGACAAACAGCCUUGGUCUGAGGGCACGUGUGGGGUACAGGGAGAAGCAGGGAUGAGAUCCAUAUGGAGUCAGCACAUCAUUCCUCACGCUACAGAACGGUGCAAAUACCUCCAGUCAGUGAGGUGGUUGCCUGGUGUGGUGGAGAAUUGGAAUGGGAUAGACACACUAGGAAUAUGAGACUUUUACGUGUACACCCGAGUAUAAGUCUGAUAAAGAACACAAAUGGAAAUCUCUUGGUCACAAAGAAUACGAUUACAGAGCGAUAGAGGGAGUGCUUUAAUGAGCUGCUUAAUUGUGAGAGGGAGAAAGACAAACAAUAAAUGGUUGUUCUUCAAGCAGCUGAGCCAUUUGUGGAUGGAUUUCAAGAGAUUUAAGAGGCAAUCAAAAUACAGGCAGUAAAUAACAAAACACCAGGUACUGAUAAUGUUUCUACUGAAAUAUGAAAAUAAAAGGGGGGAAACUACUGAAAGAUUUUACAAGGUCACUUGUUUGGUGUGCAGAUCUAAAAAACAACUGCCAAGGAAGAAAGGAGACAUACUUGGAUGAAAUCUUUAAAAUUAAUCAAUUUCUGCGGGAAAUAUAUUUUUUAUAAAGCAAGAAAAAAACCUAUAUCAGUAUAUGUCAUGAGGUGACCUUUUGGCAGUUGAAAUCCUUUUAAAUUCUUGUUCAGAAAAAAGGAAGUAUUUGAGUGGUGCAGGGAU